rnacentral:ncRNA from 1 species
GUGUAUUGACUGUGUAGGAUAGGUGGGAGGCUAUGAACCUUGGGCGCAAGCUUGAGGGGAGCCAUUGGUGAAAUACCACCCUUUUAAUGCAUAAGUUCUAACGCUGAUUCCUGUGAGUCCAGGCAGCGGACAGUGUCAGUUGGGCAGUUUGACUGGGGCGGUCUCCUCCUAAAGAGUAACGGAGGAGCCCAAUAGGUACCUCAGCCUGGUUGGCAAUCAGGCAUCGAGCGCAAAGGUAGAAGGGUGCUAAACUGCGAGACCCAUGAGUCGAGCAGAGUACGAAAGUAGGGCUUAGUGAUCCGGUAGUCCCGUAUGGAAGGGCUAUCGCUCAACAGAUAAAAGGUACUCCGGGGAUAACAGGCUUAUCGCUCCCGAGCGUCCAUAGCGGCGGAGCGGUUUGGCACCUCGAUGUCGGCUCAUCACAUCCUGGGGGUGGAGAAGCUCCCAAGGGUUUGGCUGUUCGCCAAUGAAAGUGGUACGUGAGCUGGGUUCAGACCGUCGUGAGACAGGUCGGUCCCUAUCUACUGUGGGCGCACGAGACUUGAGGAGGUUCUUCUUUAGUACGAGAGGAUUUAGAAGGACGACCCUCUGGUGUUCCUGUUGUCGCGCUAGCGGCACGGCAGGGUAGCUAAGGUCGGAACGGAUAAACGCUGAAGGCAUCUAAGCGUGAAGCCCGCUCCAAGAUUAGGUCUCGUUGGGUAAUACCCGAAAGUCCCCUGGAAGACGACCAGGUUGAUAGGUCGGAUGUGUAAGUGCAGUAAUGCAUUCAGCUAACCGAUACUAAUGGACGAACGCUUGGCCGC